rnacentral:rRNA from 1 species
UACACAUGCAGUCGAGCGGCAGCGGAAGUAGCUUGCUACUUUGCCGGCGAGCGGCGGACGGGUGAGUAAUGUCUGGGAAACUGCCCGAUGGAGGGGGAUAACUACUGGAAACGGUGGCUAAUACCGCAUAACGUCUUCGGACCAAAGUGGGGGACCUUCGGGCCUCACACCAUCGGAUGUGCCCAGAUGGGAUUAGCUAGUAGGUGAGGUAAUGGCUCACCUAGGCGACGAUCCCUAGCUGGUCUGAGAGGAUGACCAGCCACACUGGAACUGAGACACGGUCCAGACUCCUACGGGAGGCAGCAGUGGGGAAUAUUGCACAAUGGGCGCAAGCCUGAUGCAGCCAUGCCGCGUGUGUGAAGAAGGCCUUCGGGUUGUAAAGCACUUUCAGCGAGGAGGAAGGGUGGUGUGUUAAUAGCACAUCACAUUGACGUUACUCGCAGAAGAAGCACCGGCUAACUCCGUGCCAGCAGCCGCGGUAAUACGGAGGGUGCAAGCGUUAAUCGGAAUUACUGGGCGUAAAGCGCACGCAGGCGGUUUGUUAAGUCAGAUGUGAAAUCCCCGCGCUUAACGUGGGAACUGCAUUUGAAACUGGCAAGCUAGAGUCUUGUAGAGGGGGGUAGAAUUCCAGGUGUAGCGGUGAAAUGCGUAGAGAUCUGGAGGAAUACCGGUGGCGAAGGCGGCCCCCUGGACAAAGACUGACGCUCAGGUGCGAAAGCGUGGGGAGCAAACA